GUAUCCUAACCGUGCGAAGGUAGCGUAAUCACUUGUCCUUUAAAUGAGGACUGGUAUGAACGGCUUCACGAAGGCUACACUGUCUCCUUUUUCCAAUCAGUAAAACUAAUCUCCCCGUGAAGAAGCGGGGAUUCAUCUAUAAGACGAGAAGACCCUAUGGAGCUUUAAACAAUUGUUUACACUUGCCUUCAAAUUUUUUAUUACAUUUAACCAAGCAUUAUGUUUCUAGUUUUAGGUUGGGGUGACCAUGGAGAAAAACUUAUCCUCCACAUUGAAAGAAAUUCUAUUUCUUAGCAAAAAGUUACAUCUUGAUGCACCAACAAAUUGACCUUAAUUGACCCAAUAAUUUGAUCAACGAACCAAGUUACCCUAGGGAUAACAGCGCAAUCCACUUUAAGAGCUCUUAUCGACAAGUGGGUUUACGACCUCGAUGUUGGAUCAGGGUAUCCUAGUGGUGCAGCCGCUA
rnacentral:rRNA from 1 species